rnacentral:rRNA from 1 species
UUUAUUGGAGAGUUUGAUCCUGGCUCAGGAUGAACGCUGGCGGCGUGCCUAAUACAUGCAAGUCGAGCGAAUGGAUUGAGAGCUUGCUCUCAAGAAGUUAGCGGCGGACGGGUGAGUAACACGUG